UUCGCAAUGCCCGAAAGGGUGAACGAGCGACGCCGCGUGCGGGAUGAAGGGCUUCGGCUUGUAAACCGCUUUUCUUUGGAAAGAAGGCCCUGAUCGUGAAUCAGGGAUUGACGGUACCAGGGGAAUAAGCCCCGGCUAACUCCGUGCCAGCAGCCGCGGUAAGACGGAGGGGGCAAGCGUUGUUCGGAAUUAUUGGGCGUAAAGGGCUCGUAGGCGGACCGGUGUGUCUGGCGUGAAAUCUCCACUGCUUAACAGGGAGGGGCCGCUGGAAACUGCCGAUCUUGAGUAUGGUAGAGGACCAUGGAAUUCCGGGUGUAGCGGUGGAAUGCGUAGAUAUCCGGAAGAACACCGGUGGCGAAGGCGGUGGUCUGGACCAAAACUGACGCUGAGGAGCGAAAGCUAGGGGAGCAAACGGGAUUAGAUACCCCGGUAGUCCUAGCCGUAAACGAUGGGCACUAAGUAGAGGGGUUUU
rnacentral:rRNA from 1 species